rnacentral:rRNA from 1 species
GACGAACGCUGGCGGCGUGCUUAACACAUGCAAGUCGAACGGAAAGGCCUGCUUUCCCUUGUGGAUUGCGGGUACUCGAGUGGCGAACGGGUGAGUAACACGUGAGUUAUCUGCCCCCAACUUGGGUAUAAGCCUGGGAAACUGGGUCUAAUUCCCGAUAGGACUGCAGGGUGGUGCCUGUGGUGGAAAACGAUUUUCUAGUGGUUGGGGAUGAGCUCGCGGACUAUCAGCUUGUUGGUCGGGUAAUGGCCUACCAAGGCUGCGACGGGUAGCCGGCCUGAGAGGGUGGACGGCAACAUUGGGACUGAGAUACGGCCCAGACUGCUACGGGAGGCAGCAGUGGGGAAUAUUGCACAAUGGGCGGAAGCCUGAUGCAGCGACGCCGCGUGGGGGAUGACGGCCUUCGGGUUGUAAACUCCUUUCGACCGCGAGGAAGCCACCUGGUUGGAAGGGUGGUGACGGUAGUGGUAGAAGAAGCACCGGCUAACUACGUG